CCUACCCCUUCUCACUCCCAGGGUAUGUCACUCACCCCUGCUUAAGGCCGGUGUGGGGUUUGUUGCCUCCAGGGGCAAGGACCAGGCCAGGGCGGGUCUCUGCAGCCGCCGCACACCGGCAAACCGCCCACCUCUGCUUCCUUCAUCUCCACUCGGGUGUCGGGUGUCGUGUCGACCCCCGCGUCUCUCUGGCAGCGGCCCCGCCCCACCGGACCCAGCCCCCUGCCCCUCCUUCCCUGCGGGCCGGUUCAGGGAGGGAGCCCUGCGCGCCGGCCCCUCUCCCUGAAUCCUCGCUCCUGGGGAGGCCCGGGUCGGUCGCUCGGGGCUGGCAGAAGAGGAACCGGGGGGCUGUCUGCGGGCGCCCCCGGGCUCCCACACGGGUUCCCUGAGUUGAAAGAAGGUAUCAGUGAGCUGGGCGAGGAGAUGGCGAGGCAAGAAAAGGCCCAGUUUCCAUAGCAACCGAAAGGCUGCAGCGCCACGAACAGAGAGGACGAGGGGGCUGCCCUGGGAGCAGAUUCGGUCCUGGGAUUUGAGGACAGAAAGGACUUUCAGUUCCCGCUACUUCAGAAGUUCUCAACAGGGUGGGCAGGGGACCGCGCUCCCUGAAGGCGACGGCUGCUGGCUCCCACGUCCUUUGCUGACCGCCUUGAGCCCCACGCGCACCUGUGCAGAUCGACCCUCCCCUGAAUUCUUCGAACUUGCCCAUCGGUCUCUGCGCUCCAUUCCGCACUCCACGUUCGGAAGCUGGUUCAACCGCGUUCAACCCCGCGGGGGGCCACCAGGUGGAGUCCGGCUUUUCACAAUCUUUGUGAAAGGUUGUGGACUCUCCCUUGGGUGUGCCUUGGAGAGGGCUUCUUGGAAGUGACAUUGCUGGGUCUCGAGAGCACACGGUAACAUUUCUGGCUGCGUCUGUGGAUGGUCGGUGACGCUCUGUCUGGAGGAACCGCGCUGAUCACUCGGCCAUCCCCUGUGGCUGGACGCGUCUGCUGUUCCCAAUACUUCCCGUGAUACAUAACACCGGGGGGGACGUCUUCAAGCACAAAGUGGCUUUUGUGUCUGGAACUGCUCUCUGGCUGGCCCGGCUUUACCAGGGUAAAGGGACCCUGAGGCCGGUGCUGGAUGGUUCGUUUAGAACAGCCAUACCCGCCAAAGUUUACACUGGAGUGACAAAUCAGACGGGAAUAACUGCUUUAUUUUGUGGUCUGCGUGUCCACUGACAGCAGGAGGACAGCGCCCCAUGAGACGCCCAGCAAGUGGGUCCUACAGAAAUAUCGGACGUUAAAAAAAGCAACAAAAAUCGAACCUCAACUUCCCUCCCCUGGGGCUCCAGCUGCCUAUUCCCGCUGCAGACGGAAGCAGAUACUUCUGGUCGUGGAGGGGGCCCCGCGGGCCAGACCACGCAGCCCUCCCCUACGUGGCGCCUGGCGCUGCCAUCCAUGUCCUCCCCCCAUCAGACCUCAGGCCCCCCACUUGCUCCUGCCUGUGCUCACCAUUGCCCUGGGCCGUAUGGUCAGAACCUAUACUCGCGUGAACGGAUUUUAAGGUCAGUCUCUGAAACUGGACUGCUGACACAGGUUGCGAGAAAAUCAUGUGAUCCCCUGCGUGCCGCCCCCUCCCCCACUGCACCCCGACUUUGGGAGCCUUCCAUUUGGACUCUGUGCAUCCGAAGCUAAGGCCAGCUGUGAACCUCACGCACCUGCUCAUCCGCUGGCGGAACCUGUCUCUCUUCAAUACUCAGGUUUUAACCCACUGGCUGUGCAGGAGCUGUACGCGUGAGCCCUGCCCACAGGCGGACUUUUCUUCUCUCUUGGCCCUCGGGCUGCCCCAGACCCGCCCCUCCUGCCUGAACCACCACCAGCUUCCCUGCGGCCCGCCAGCAGCUCAUAGGUGGGAAUCAAGGAGCUGCUGUCCCUCGGCUCGCCCACCCGGUCUUCUCGGCCGCGCUGCACACCCACAGUCAGGGUCCGCCGCUCACGGAGCACCUGCUCUCCCCGCACGGGACGGCAAUGUCUGGGGUCAUCCUAACAAUGGCCCUGUGGGCCAGCUAGGACUAGCCCCUUACAGAUGGGACAACGGAGGCUCCAAGGGCAUAUCCCUGCCUUGCAAGUGGCAGGCACAGGAUGCCUCACCGUGCCUCAGCCUGGAGCGCCACUCAGGCGUGUGCUCAGAGCAUGCACGGGCCGGGGUGGGGGACACACUGGGACACGUGUGCGUGAACAUGGUGGCUGAGGGGUCUGCAUCCAGCCGCCGAGCUGAGAUCUGGGGAAGUCUGGCUAGGAGCCCCAGAGGCGCCCACCUGGCCCAUGUUUGGCCCCUCCAAGUCAGGUCUCGGAGGAAAAGGGGGUGGGGAGCCAGCCUGCCCCUCGGGGCUGCUGUGAGCCAGAGGCUCCCUCCCGGUCCUGGGUGUGCCCUCCACAUGAGCAGCACAGGGCGGCCACAGCAAGCACCACAGACCAGACCGCGGGGCUGGGCACAAAGAAGUCUGUUUUCUCCCAUUCUGGAGGUGGGAAGACUGAGAUCAAGGGGUCAGCAGAGCCACACUCCCUCAGGCCUCUAGAGGAGGAUCCUUCCUGCGCCCCUGGGUGCUGAUGCUGGCUACCAACCCAGGGCCUUCCUCCGCAGACUUGUCCUUCCAGCCUGUGCCUCUGUCCCCAUGGGGCCUCUCUGCUGGGUGAGUCUGUCUCUGUGUCUCUUCUCCUAAGGACAUUUGACAUUGGAUUUAAAGCUCCCCGACUCCAUCCAGCAGGACCUCAGCUUCACCGGAGCACGUCUCCAAAGACCCACACCCACAGUAGCGUCUGGGACUCGAGCAUGUCCUGAACCCACCUGCCCCCAGCACCGCAGGCCUCUUGGGUGUUGACGGCGACGUGCCAUCACAGAGUCAGACUGCUGGUCACCUCGGUCCCCACCGCAGCCUCCUGCCACCUGCUGGCUCCUGUCCGCUCUCUCUGCCUCCA